GCAGGGCCCGGUGUUCAGCCAACCUAGGGGUUUGCUCUGCCUGCCCACAGGUCUUUGAUCCUCCCUUUGUGCUAUCCAGGCCACCUCCCUUACCUGUGGCUCUCUGGACUCUCUUGUCCCCAGCUGGUUUGGUUCAGGAACAUCUGGGCUGAGUCGAUGGCAGCAUCUGGUGCUGACACAGGCCAGCUGGGACAGACUUGACUGCAGAUGACCUCUGCAUCUGGGAGCAGUGCCAGGCAGGAGAAUGGGACAACUGGGAUGAACUGAUGCAGAUAACAAUAAAAAACCUCUAUUAACACUG